rnacentral:rRNA from 1 species
GACGAACGCUGGCGGCGUGCUUAACACAUGCAAGUCGAACGGUAAGGCCCUUCGGGGUACACGAGUGGCGAACGGGUGAGUAACACGUGGGUGAUCUACCCUGCACUUCGGGAUAAGCCUGGGAAACUGGGUCUAAUACCGGAUAGGACCACUGCCUGCAUGGGGGGUGGGGGAAAGCUUUUGCGGUGUGGGAUGGGCCCGCGGCCUAUCAGCUUGUUGGUGGGGCGAUGGCCUACCAAGGCGACGACGGGCAGCCGGCCUGAGAGGGUGACCGGCCACACUGGGACUGAGAUACGGCCCAGACUCCUACGGGAGGCAGCAGUGGGGAAUAUUGCACGAUGGGCGCAAGCCUGAUGCAGCGACGCCGCGUGAGGGAUGGCGGCCUUCGGGUUGUAAACCUCUUUCAGCACCGACGAAGCGCAAGUGACGGUAGGUGCAGAAGAAGGACCGGCCAACUACGUGCCAGCCGCCGCCGUAA